CACCACGCUAUUUAUAUGUUUAUCUAUUUAUUUCUAACACUAGCACUCCGCCAUACACCACGCUAUUUGUGGGUAUUACCGCGUCCGCUGUACAAGAUGUCCUUGGUAGAAAAUUCAAAGAAUUGGCGUUCUGGUCUCAGUCUCGCUGAGUGCAACAGAUAUAUGCUUACUCACCAGAUCCAUUGUGACGUCACAUUUAAAGUUGGAAAAGAGGGCAAACUUGUACGCGCCCAUAAGUAUGUUCUGUCCAGCAGAAGCCCAGUCUUUGACGCCAUGCUGUAUGGCGACCUGUCGGAAUCAGACGACAUCAUAGUUCCAGACAUCGAGCAGUCUUCAUUUGAUGCGCUGUUACGAUUUCUGUAUUGUGAUGACGUCAGCUUUACCCCGGAUACCGUUACUGCUGUGUUGUAUGCAGCAUACAAAUACGGAGUCGAUGAUUUGGUGACAAAAAUAAAAUCAUACUUAGAUCAAAAUAUUAGGAACAAAACUGUUCUUACAAUUUUAGAAAGUGCAAAAUUAUUUAACCUUGAAGAUCUUCUGACGAAGUGUAAGGAUUUCAUUGAAUCAAAUCCUGUUCCUCUCUUGCAAUCCCCCUCUGCUUUAGAUAUAACGAAAGAAACCCUUACAUACAUUAUCUCCCUUGAUUCUCUGGUAAUGGAUGAGCUGAAAAUUUAUCAGUUUCUCAUAAAAUGGGCGGAAAAUCAGUGCGAUAGAGUGGAAAUGGAUAAAACUGAUCGGAAUAUUCGAACUAUGAUGGGGGACCUGAUUUAUCUAAUCCGUUUUCCUUCCAUGGGUCUAGAGUCGUUUGCUAAAGACGUCUGCAAACGGGAAAUACUCAACGCUCAGGAGAAAUUGAACUUACAGCAAGUGAUUGUUGGUAAUCUGGAUAAAACGAAUACAAAAUUCCAAUUUGGAGAACGAAAACGUGAAACAUUUUGUGUUUUACGUGGAAAAUGCCACGAUAAGAUUGAAAGGUGGGUAUAUAAUGGAUCAGCAGAUUGUAUAGAAUUCACUGUGAGCAAGAAUGUCGAGAUUCAUGGUUUCGUUAUGUGGGGCGGGUUAUCCAUUCCCUAUACAUACGUCAUACAAGGUAAACUAUGUAAAAACUCCGAGGAAGUAUCAACUAUACCGACUCAAACAAUAGAGAAAAGAGAACCUUCAGACGUAACAUUCACUAUACCAUUACCGAAACCAGUGCUUUUAGUCCCUGGUGUGAGAUACAGAGCCUGUGUACGUCUAGAGGGACCAGAGAGCUGGAGAGGUCAAAAUUACAGAUCGUCCGUCAUAGAGAAUGGUGUUGAAUUCGUCUUUUAUACACACGAAGGAGAAAAUAAUGGAACUUCAUCUGAUGCAGGACAGUUUCCCGGAUUUGUCUGUUCUUUGUAAACAAUCCAAAGAGAUGUCCCUGGCAGAAAAUUCAAAGAAUUAGCGUUCUGGUCUCAGUCUCUCUGAGUGCAACAGAUAUAUGCUUACCCACCAGAUUCAUUGUGACGUCACAUUAAGAGUUGGGAAAGAGGACAAACUUGUACGCGCCCAUAAGUACGUUCUCUCCAGCAGAAGCCCAGUCUUUGAUGCCAUGCUGUAUGGCGACCUGGCGGAAUCAGACGACAUCAUAGUUCCAGACAUCGAGCCGUCUUCUUUUGAUGCGCUGUUACGAUUUUUAUACUGUGGUGACGUCGAUUUCAGCCCGGACACGGUAACCUCUGUUCUGUAUGCCGCACACAUAUACGGAGUUGAUGAUUUGGUGACAAAAAUAAAAUUAUACCUGGAUCAAAAUAUUACGAACGAGACUGUUUUGAUUAUCUUAGAAAGUGCAAAAUUAUUUAACCUUGAAGAUCUUCUGGAGAAGUAUGAGCAUUUCAUUGAAUCAGAUCCGUUUCCUGUCUUACAACCCCCCUCUGCUUUAGAGGUAACGAAAGAAACCCUUACAUACAUUAUCUCCCUUGAAUCGUUGGUAAUGGAUGAAUUGGAAAUUUAUCACUUUCUCAUGAACUGGUCGGAAAAUCAAUGUGAUAAAGUGGGAAUGGAGAAAACUGAUCCGAAUAUCCGAGCUAUGAUGGGGGACCUGAUUUAUUCAAUUCGUUUUCAUACAAUGAAUUUAGACACAUUUGUUAAAGAUGUAUGUAACCGGGAAAUAGUUCAUGCGCAAGAGAAAUUGAGUCUACAGCAAGUGAUUGUGUGUAGUGUGGAAAAAGAGAAUACAAAAUUCAAAUUCGAGGAACGAACAUGUGAAACAUUUUGUGUUGUACGCGGAGAACGUAAAGAUAUCGAGAGAUUUUGGGCAUAUAGUCGAAGCUUACCGGAUUGUAUAGAGUUCACAGUGAACAAGACUGUUAGAAUCCAUGGCUUCGUUAUGUGGGGUGUGAGGUCAAUUCCAUAUACAUACAGAAUACAAGGAAAGCUAUUCGCGAACUCCAAGGAAGUAUCAACUGUACCUGUACAAAUAAUAGAGAAGAGAGAAUCCUCCGAUAUAAAAUUCACUAUACCAUUACCGGAACCGGUGUAUUUAGCCCCUGGUGUGAGAUACAGAGCCUGUGUACGCCUAGAGGGACCAGAGAGCUGGGGAGGUCAAAAUUACAGAUCGUCCGUCACAGAACAUGGUGUUGAAUUAGUCUUUUACGCACACAGUGGAAAAACUAAUGGGACUUCGCAUACCAGAGGGCAAUUUCCAGGAUUUGUCUGUUCUUUGUAAACACUUCAACUAUAGAACACAUGGUGACAUUAAGUUAAAGGUUUUUCAUGCAUACACAAUAUCAUAUUUGAGACUUAAUUCUCAAUUUUACUAAUUUACACAUACAUUUAUGCCUUUUCAACACUUCACACAAUUUCUCCCGCUGAAUUAAAACAUAUCGGUAAUUGUUUUAUUUUACAUCACAGGCAGUUGCUUCAUUACCAAUCCACACAUUCACUAUAAAUGUAUCGAUGUUUUCUGAAACUAGAUAUCCUCAACGCCACAACCCAGAGUAAAUCAUCUACACUGUAGAGUGUUAUAAUUUAAACUGAUGACUUGUUCGGACAUCCAUCCUUCUGCACUUGUACAUGAUCCGACAAGAGUUACUCGAGAUCGAGUUCUUAUGUAUGAGCAUUUUCCUGGGUAAAUGCUGAUUUUUCGGUGAUAAGCAUUAAA